GGGUUGUGAGGUUAAGCGACUAAGCGUACACGGUGGAUGCCCUGGCAGUCAGAGGCGAUGAAGGACGUGCUAAUCUGCGAUAAGCGUCGGCGAGGUGAUAUGAACCUUUGACCCGGCGAUUUCCGAAUGGGGAAACCCAGUGCAAUUCGUUGCACUAUCGUUAAGUGAAUACAUAGCUUAACGAAGCGAACCGGGGGAACUGAAACAUCUAAGUACCCCGAGGAAAAGAAAUCAACCGAGAUUCCCCCAGUAGCGGCGAGCGAACGGGGAGCAGCCCAGAACCUGAAUCAGCGUAUGUGUUAAUGGAAGCGUCUGGAAAGUCGCACGAUACAGGGUGACAGUCCCGUACAUGAAAAUGCAUACGUUGUGAGUUCGAAGAGUAGGGCGGGACACGUGGUAUCCUGUCUGAAUAUGGGGGGACCAUCCUCCAAGGCUAAAUACUCCUGACUGACCGAUAGUGAACCAGUACCGUGAGGGAAAGGCGAAAAGAACCCCGGCGAGGGGAGUGAAAAAGAACCUGAAACCGUGUACGUACAAGCAGUGGGAGCCUCUUAAUGGGGUGACUGCGUACCUUUUGUAUAAUGGGUCAGCGACUUAUAUUCUGUAGCAAGGUUAACCGAAUAGGGGAGCCGAAGGGAAACCGAGUCUUAACUGGGCGUUAAGUUGCAGGGUAUAGACCCGAAACCCGGUGAUCUAGCCAUGGGCAGGUUGAAGGUUGGGUAACACUAACUGGAGGACCGAACCGACUAAUGUUGAAAAAUUAGCGGAUGACUUGUGGCUGGGGGUGAAAGGCCAA
rnacentral:rRNA from 1 species